GACGAACGCUGGCGGCGUGCCUAAUACAUGCAAGUCGAGCGGACGGAUGGGAGCUUGCUCCCAGACCGUCAGCGGCGGACGGGUGAGUAACACGUGGGCAACCUGCCUGUAAGACUGGGAUAACUCCGGGAAACCGGGGCUAAUACCGGAUAACUCUUUCCCUCACAUGAGGGAAAGCUGAAAGAUGGCAUCUCGCUAUCACUUACAGAUGGGCCCGCGGCGCAUUAGCUAGUUGGUGAGGUAACGGCUCACCAAGGCGACGAUGCGUAGCCGACCUGAGAGGGUGAUCGGCCACACUGGGACUGAGACACGGCCCAGACUCCUACGGGAGGCAGCAGUAGGGAAUCUUCCGCAACGGACGAAAGUCUGACGGAGCAACGCCGCGUGAGUGAUGAAGGUUUUCGGAUCGUAAAACUCUGUUGUCAGGGAAGAACAAGUACCGGAGUAACUGCCGGUACCUUGACGGUACCUGACCAGAAAGCCACGGCUAACUACGUG
rnacentral:rRNA from 1 species